rnacentral:rRNA from 1 species
GACGACGCUGGCGGCGUGCUUAACACAUGCAAGUCGAACGGACGAGUGAGAUAAGUUUACUUAACUCACAAGUUAGUGGCGGACGGGUGAGUAACACGUGGAUAAUCUACCUGCAACACCGGGAUAACGCUGUGAAAACGGUGCUAAUACCGGAUACGUUCCCUUGUGCGCAUGUAUGAGGGAAGAAAGCUCAGGCGGUUGCAGAUGAGUCCGCGGCUGAUUAGCUAGUUGGUGAGGUAAAGGCUCACCAAGGCGAUGAUCAGUAGCCGGCCUGAGAGGGUGAACGGCCACACUGGGACUGAGACACGGCCCAGACUCCUGCGGGAGGCAGCAGUGGGGAAUCUUCCGCAAUGGGCGCAAGCCUGACGGAGCAACGCCGCGUGGGUGAAGAAGGCCUUCGGGUUGUAAAGCCCUGUCUUAUGGGAAGAAGUCAGUGACGGUACCAUAGGAGGAAGCCACGGCUAACUACGUG